CCUACGGGAGGCAGCAGUGAGGAAUAUUGGUCAAUGGACGAGAGUCUGAACCAGCCAAGUAGCGUGAAGGAUGACUGCCCUAUGGGUUGUAAACUUCUUUUAUAAAGGAAUAAAACGAGGCACGUGUGCCUUUUUGCAUGUACUUUAUGAAUAAGGAUCGGCUAACUCCGUGCCAGCAGCCGCGGUAAUACGGAGGAUCCGAGCGUUAUCCGUAUUUAUUGGGUUUAAAGGGAGCGUAGAUGGGUUGUUAAGUCAGUUGUGAAAGUUUGCGGCUCAACCGUAAAAUUGCAAUUGAUACUGGCAGUCGUGAGUACAGUUGAGGUAGGCGGAAUUCGUGGUGUAGCGGUGAAAUGCUUAGAUAUCACGAAGAACCCCGAUUGCGAAGGCAGCUUACUAAACUGUGACUGACAUUGAUGCUCGAAAGUGUGGGUAUCAAACAGGAUUAGAUACCCGGGUAGUC
rnacentral:rRNA from 1 species